rnacentral:rRNA from 1 species
AUUGAACGCUGGCGGCAGGCUUAACACAUGCAAGUCGAGCGGGGAAGUAUAGCUUGCUAUACGACCUAGCGGCGGACGGGUGAGUAAUGCUUAGGAAUCUGCCUAUUAGUGGGGGACAACAUUCCGAAAGGAAUGCUAAUACCGCAUACGCCCUACGGGGGAAAGCAGGGGAUCUUCGGACCUUGCGCUAAUAGAUGAGCCUAAGUCAGAUUAGCUAGUUGGUGGGGUAAAGGCCUACCAAGGCGACGAUCUAUAGCGGGUCUGAGAGGAUGAUCCGCCACACUGGGACUGAGACACGGCCCAGACUCCUACGGGAGGCAGCAGUGGGGAGUAUUGGACAAUGGGCGAAAGCCUGAUCCAGCCAUGCCGCGUGUGUGAAGAAGGCCUUUUGGUUGUAAAGCACUUUAAGCGAGGAGGAGGCUACCGAGAUUAAUACUCUUGGAUAGUGGACGUUACUCGCAGAAUAAGCACCGGCUAACUCUGUGCCAGCCGCCGCCGUAAGAC